GUUCUUUAUUGAGUUGAAUGCCCGAAAUAUUUUUGGGUUUCGUGAUUCUUCUCUGAAUAGGAAGAUCUGAUGU